AAUCCGCUCAAAUCGACUUAUAUAUAUACUCUCGCCGCUUGCGCAACAAAGCAGGACGAAGUCUAGUGCAAAGCGGGUCAGGUCCGAACCGGAACAAUUGCCCUCCUUACCGACCAAACUCGCACGCAACGCAAGCUUCUCUCUCUCCCUCUUUUUUAAAUAAAGAACAAAGAAAAGUUUCCCUUUGUCUUUAGUCAUCUAAAUCAAUCGAACGGCUAAGAUCACUUGAGUCCCGCUGAACCGGUUCACUGAAUCACCGGAGGACAGAAUCGCAACCAAACUUUUGUCUUCCGAGGAAGUUCCAUCUUCUUGUUGGGUCCAUUUGUUGUUGCGCGGCAGCUUUCUUGAUGACCGUGAAACCACCUAUAGCGGCGGAGAUGGCACGAAUUGUGGUGGUUUUCGAUUUCGACCGCACCUUAAUCGACGGCGACAGUGACAGCUGGGUGGUGACUCAGAUGGGCCUCUCCUCACUCUUCAAUCAGCUUCGUUCUACUUUGCCCUGGAACUCCCUUAUGGUUUGUGCUUUGAACUUCUCCUACGCAAUAUAUAUGCACCUAGAAAGAUGUUAAAUUAGGCGAAUUUUGAUGGAUGGUUUCAGUAUUUAUUUUCUUUGCCAAAAGGUGAACUUAAAAUGAAACGAAAAGUAUAUCUGUGUCCUACGGAUUGUUGUUUUUAGGUCAAGAAAAUGUUCUUUACGUUUUUCAGGAUCCAUUUAGAUCAUCAUAGAGAUAGUUUCGAGUGAAAUUUUGCCUUUUUUUUAAAUCUCUAAUUCUUGAAGGGUAAGGGUGGGAUUGAAGCAGUAACCUCAUGCACUAUGAGGCAGGCAUUGAAUCACUGGAAGUAGUGAAAAUUCCUGAUUGUUGCUUUUAAUAUAUUGUUCAUUGCCGUUGAAGAAAGUACAGUGAUUUGAUUGGACUAAUUUUUAGGAUAGGAUGAUGACGGAGCUCCACUCACAAGGGAAAACAGUUGAUGAUAUUGCAGAAUGCCUACAUCAGACUCCAUUGCAUCCACGAAUUAAAACAGUCAUAAAAUCAAUCCAUGCCCUUGGGUUUGUAGUUUCUUCACUAUCUUCUUUACGGUUUUUCUUUCCUUUGUUGAGUUCUUCUCUUUACUGGUGUGGUGCUGAUUGAAGGUUCUAUUCCCAAUGUCGUUAUUUCAGAUGUGACUUAAGAAUAAUUAGUGAUGCAAAUCAAUUUUUCAUUGAGAAAAUCUUGGAUCAUCAUGGAUUGUUGGGAUGCUUCUCACAGAUCAGCACAAAUCCAGCCUUUGUAGAUGAUCAGGGAAGGCUUAGGAUUUUCCCCCACCAUGACUUGAACACACCUCCUCACUGUUGCCACUUAUGCCCGUCAAAUUUGUGUAAGGUAAAAACUUUUGGUUAUAGUGACCAUUUUAAGCAGAUAGCUAUUCAAAAAUAUAUACUUGACAGCAGUUGAUUGGUUGAAUGAUUGUAACUUUACUUGUUUGAUUGAAGUUUCUAGUUGGUUUGGCAUGAUGGCAUGGUGACCUUCAUUUGGCCUACUGCAAGAAAUGCGAAAUAAAGUCCUAUGGAUUGGAUAGAGAAUUGAUGUACAAACCCUUAUAAAAGGAGAUGGGGCUCAUUUUAUAAUUUGGCUUUGUUUCUCUUGUCAAUUGAUAUCCUUGGUUAGCCAUUUGCUGAGAGGAGCUAGAAUGGAAUGUUACAGUCGCCAGUGUGCACUUCAAUAGGUGCGGAGACUGGAGACUUGCAAAAAGCCGACUAGAUUUAUAGAAGCAUGAAACCUUGCUGCUUUAUCAUUAAGAUUUUUGUUUGGGAUAUUUUUUUGUUGCCGACAAAGUUAUGUCCUGUAAGGCUUCUUCCUGCCUUAAAAAAUUUUAAAGCCAUCUCAGGACCGCAUGGAACUGUACCCAUUCAGUUAUUUUCCAAUAGUCUUCUGAGUACAACAUUUAAUUGCAUCAACUUCAACCUCUCUUUCCCUUGGCUAGCGGGUUUAAUUCGUGCAAUUAACAAAACUGUGUUGUUUAAUUCAUUUUUAUUCAUUUCUGCAUGCACUACGUAGUGAUUUACUAAGUAAUCGUAAGAAAAUGUAUACAACAUAAUGUGAAAUUAGCUCCUUAUUUUAUGCUGCCAUCAUUCGCUAAAUUUUAAUCUGUUUCUUCAAUGUAGGGCCUGGUAAUUGACCAAAUCCGUGCUUCCACUACUCAAAAUGAGAAAACAAGACUCAUCUACCUCGGAGAUGGGAAUGGUGACUUCUGUCCAUCUUUAAAACUUGUUGAAGGUGAUUAUGUGAUGCCAAGGAAGGAGUAUCCCUUAUGGAAACGCAUUUGCAGCAAUGCAACUCUUGUCAAGGCAGAAGUUCAUGACUGGAGUAACGGCGAGCAGCUUGAGAAGAUUCUUCUCCACCUUAUCAACACAAUCUCCACUGAAGACAACAUCAGGAGUAGGCUUUCCAAUCAGUUGAAUUCAUCAGAACGUAGGAUAUCCACUCAUGAAGAUGCAUGUCCUCAAACUCUAUCUAUUCCUCAUUGAUUAUACAACAGAUGUGGCAUUAACAAUAGAAAGAUUCCAGCUAAUCAACAUUGGUACUACAUAUAAAUGAAAGUAAUAAAUGGUUUGGGAGAACAUUGGUACUACAUAUAUCCGUUAUAUUAGUCCGUUAUAUUAGUUCACUUAACAAUAAAUUACAGUUUGAAUCACAUUUGCUGACAUAGUAUAAUAUAAGAUAUCAAUUUCAUAAAAAUUAAAGGAUAAUUCUUUUUGUCUCAAA
rnacentral:misc_RNA from 1 species